GGCCUGGGGCUGAGUGGCAGAGCACUCGCUUAGCAUGUGUGAGGCUCUGAGUUCAAUCCUCAGCACCA
rnacentral:tRNA from 1 species